rnacentral:rRNA from 1 species
AGUGAACGCUGGCGGCAGGCCUAACACAUGCAAGUCGAACGGCAGCACAGUAAGAGCUUGCUCUUACGGGUGGCGAGUGGCGGAAGGGUGAGGAAUACAUCGGAAUCUACUUUUUCGUGGGGGAUAACGUAGGGAAACUUACGCUAAUACCGCAUACGACCUACGGGUGAAAGCAGGGGAUCUUCGGACCUUGCGCGAUCGAAUGAGCCGAUGUCGGAUUAGCUAGUGGGCGGGGUAAAGGCCCACCAAGGCGACGAUCCGUAGCUGGUCUGAGAGGAUGAUCAGCCACACUGGAACUGAGACACGGUCCAGACUCCUACGGGAGGCAGCAGUGGGGAAUAUUGGACAAUGGGCGCAAGCCUGAUCCAGCCAUACCGCGUGUGUGAAGAAGGCCUUCGGGUUGUAAAGCCCUUUUAUUGGGAAAGAAGAGCAGCAGGUUAAUACCUCGCUGUUUUGACGGUACCCAAAGAAUAAGCACCGGCUAACUUCGUG